UUUGUGGUUGAUGUUGGUGAUCCUGUACUGUCGAGAAAAGCCUCUAGGCGAGUCGCCAUAUAUGGCCCGUACCCGAUAAACCGACACAAGGUGGUCACGUAGACCUUUGUGGUUGAUGUUGGUGAUCCUGUACUGUCGAGAAAAGCCUCUAGGCGAGUCGCCAUAUAUGGCCCGUACCCGAUAAACCGACACAAGGUGGUCACG
rnacentral:rRNA from 1 species